rnacentral:rRNA from 1 species
AUUGAACGCUGGCGGCAUGCUUUACACAUGCAAGUCGAACGGCAGCGCGGGGCAACCUGGCGGCGAGUGGCGAACGGGUGAGUAAUAUAUCGGAACGUACCCAGAAGUGGGGGAUAACGUAGCGAAAGUUACGCUAAUACCGCAUACGAUCUACGGAUGAAAGUAGGGGACCGCAAGGCCUUAUGCUUUUGGAGCGGCCGAUAUCUGAUUAGCUAGUUGGUGAGGUAAAGGCUCACCAAGGCGACGAUCAGUAGCUGGUCUGAGAGGACGACCAGCCACACUGGAACUGAGACACGGUCCAGACUCCUACGGGAGGCAGCAGUGGGGAAUUUUGGACAAUGGGCGCAAGCCUGAUCCAGCAAUGCCGCGUGAGUGAAGAAGGCCUUCGGGUUGUAAAGCUCUUUUGUCAGGGAAGAAACGGUAGAGGCUAAUAUCCCUUGCUAAUGACGGUACCUGAAGAAUAAGCACCGGCUAACUACGUG